UACGGAGGGGGUUAGCGUUGUUCGGAAUGACUGGGCGUAAAGCGCGCGUAGGCGGAUCAGGAAGUUGGGGGUGAAAUCCCGGGGCUCAACCCCGGAAUGGCCUUCAAAACUCCUGGUCUUGAGUUCGAGAGAGGUGAGUGGAAUUCCGAGUGUAGAGGUGAAAUUCGUAGAUAUUCGCAAGAACACCAGUGGCGAAGGCGGCUCACUGGCCCGAUACUGACGCUGAGGCACGAAAGCGUGGGGAGCAAACAGG
rnacentral:rRNA from 1 species